CAGCAGGCCUGGGGCUGCCCAGGUCUUGCUGCUUUUCCCUUGGCAGCUCUCAAGUCCGGGGGGCAGAGGGGGGUCUGGGCCAGUUGGGGUCUGCCAGGCCAUCCCCGCAGCCCCCCUCCACCCUACCCCACAGGGACCCCCGCCUCCCAUCUGAGAGGACAGCUCUCUCCCUGGAGUUGGGAUCUGACGCUUGCUGGUACCAACAGCAGAUUUACCAGCAGGAAGAAACUAGAAGAAACUCAGGGAGCAAGGACCCCUGGGGCUUUUCACCGUGGGGCUACUCCGAAGGGCCCGGGGAGACAGUUGGAACACUUCCGGCACCACCGCCCUGUAAGUGCCUCCAUUGUAUCGUUCCUGGGAACUGGCUUCCGGCUGAUGUCAUCUGUAUGCAAAGCAAGAACUUUCCUGCACGGUUUCAGUUCAUCUUCACAAUAACCCUGUAAGGCAUGUGUUGGUCAACAUAGCAAUACUCAUACACUUUACUCACGACAUUGGUUGUACCUGCAGAGCUAUCCUGAGCAGAACUGGCAUUAUUAACCUGUUUUUCACAACAACACAUGGAACUCAAAGUGAUAAAGUUCAACCCAUCACUGUGGGGUGCAGUGGUUAACAUCAAAGUCAUCCUCCAGCCAAGAUGGAAGGAAUCAGGGUCCCUGAGUGAAGGACAAACUCUUCUAUCCUACAUUUUGGAUGUGUUUGUUACACCAGCCAGCAUCACCCUUACUAAUGCAAUACCUGCAUUUGAAUCCUAGCUCUGCCUUUUGAAGUCUGUAGUUUGGGGUAAGUUAUCUCUCUGAGCCUUUGUUACCUCUUCUGAGAAAUGGGUAUAAUGUCAGAACCCACCUACCUCAAUGGGCAGUUGUAAAAUUAAAAGAAGUGAUUUUUAUAAAUUGUUUAGAAUGGUGCCUGGGCCAUAGUAAAUACUAUAGAAAUAAUCAAGUUAAUCAGAGCUAAGAUAUGAAGGAGCCAGGACCAGAUAUGGGCCACAUGAUGCUAAGUUAAGUAUCUGAGUCCAAAGUCCUAGGCAUUUCUAUUUCUCUUUACAAUCAA
rnacentral:lncRNA from 1 species